UACGUAGGGGGCAAGCGUUGUCCGGAUUUAUUGGGCGUAAAGAGCGUGUAGGCGGCCUGAAAGGUCAGCUGUGAAAACUCGAGGCUCAACCUCGAGACGUCGGUUGAAACCAUCUGGCUAGAGUCCGGAAGAGGAGAGUGGAAUUCCCGGUGUAGCGGUGAAAUGCGCAGAUAUCGAGAAGAACACCCGUGGCGAAGGCGGCUCUCUGGGACGGUA
rnacentral:rRNA from 1 species